CCUUCCUAAGGCCGAAAGGCAUCAAUGUUCCCUGAAGGAAAGCUCAGUGAUUUCCAGCUCAGAGCAGCCUGUUUGGUCACUCCCUCCUGCCAGAGGAGAAAGGAUUGCUGGGCUUGGAUCUACAUCAGUCCUGCCAAGGUGAUGGAUACAGCACAAAUCAUCUCCCCGAGUACUUUCCCGUGGCAGCUUUGAGCACAUUUUGGCCCUCAAAGUCCUGGGUGCAUCUCCCAGUGAUAAAACACUGUUAUAUUUCUUUCUUCAAAGGCAUUGCUGAGUCUGUACUCCCCUGCAGAUUUUCACCUGGUUGUUUUAGUUAAGGCUGAAGAGAUCCUUGAAAUGAGAUGAUCUUUAAGAUCCCUUCCAGCCCA